rnacentral:pre_miRNA from 1 species
AAAAAGACAAACUCUGGUUUCCGUGUCCAACGUUUGACCGUCCGUCUUAUUUGAAAAAAAUAUGAAAAAAUUUUAAAAAGACAAGUCACGCAUAAAGUACUAAUCAUGUUUUAUCAUCUAACAACAAUGAAAAUACUAAUUAUAAAAAAUUUCAUAUAAAACGGAUAGUCAAACAUUGGACACAGAAACCUAGGGUUUGUUUUUUU